AGAGUUUGAUCCUGGCUCAAGAUGAACGCUGGCGGCGUGCUUAACACAUGCAAGUCGAACGAAGCACUUUAUUUGAUUUCCUUCGGGACUGAUUAUUUUGUGACUGAGUGGCGGACGGGUGAGUAACGCGUGGGUAACCUGCCUUGUACAGGGGGAUAACAGUUGGAAACGGCUGCUAAUACCGCAUAAGCGCACAGCAUCGCAUGAUGCAGUGUGAAAAACUCCGGUGGUAUAAGAUGGACCCGCGUUGGAUUAGCUAGUUGGUGAGGUAACGGCCCACCAAGGCGACGAUCCAUAGCCGACCUGAGAGGGUGACCGGCCACAUUGGGACUGAGACACGGCCCAAACUCCUACGGGAGGCAGCAGUGGGGAAUAUUGCACAAUGGGCGAAAGCCUGAUGCAGCGACGCCGCGUGAGCGAAGAAGUAUUUCGGUAUGUAAAGCUCUAUCAGCAGGGAAGAUAAUGACGGUACCUGACUAAGAAGCACCGGCUAAAUACGUGCCAGCAGCCGCGGUAAUACGUAUGGUGCAAGCGUUAUCCGGAUUUACUGGGUGUAAAGGGAGCGCAGGCGGUGCGGCAAGUCUGAUGUGAAAGCCCGGGGCUCAACCCCGGUACUGCAUUGGAAACUGUCGUACUAGAGUGUCGGAGGGGUAAGCGGAAUUCCUAGUGUAGCGGUGAAAUGCGUAGAUAUUAGGAGGAACACCAGUGGCGAAGGCGGCUUACUGGACGAUAACUGACGCUGAGGCUCGAAAGCGUGGGGAGCAAACAGGAUUAGAUACCCUGGUAGUCCACGCCGUAAACGAUGAAUAAUAGGGGUUGGGAAGCAUAGCUUCUCGGUGCCGUCGCAAACGCAGUAAGUAUUCCACCUGGGGAGGAGGUUCGCAAGAAAAAAACUCAAAGGAAAUUGACGGGGACCCGCACAAGCGGUGGAGCAUGUGGUUUUAAUUCGAAGCAACGCGAAGAACCUUCCCAAGUCUUGACAUCCUUCUGACCGGUCCUUAACCGUACCUUCUCUUCGGAGCAGGAGUGACAGGUGGUGCAUGGUUGUCGUCAGCUCGUGUCGUGAGAUGAUGGGUUAAGUCCCGCAACGAGCGCAACCCUUAUCUUUAGUAGCCAGCGGUCUGGCCGGGCACUCUAGAGAGACUGCCAGGGAUAACCUGGAGGAAGGCGGGGAGGACGUCAAAUCAUCAUGCCCCUUAUGACUUGGGCUACACACGUGCUACUAUGGCGUAAACAAAGGGAAGCAAAGCUGUGAAGCCGAGCGAAUCUCAAAAAUAACGUCUCAGUUCGGACUGUAGUCUGCAACCCGACUACACGAAGCUGGAAUCGCUAGUAAUCGCAGAUCAGAAUGCUGCGGUGAAUACGUUCCCGGGUCUUGUACACACCGCCCGUCA
rnacentral:rRNA from 1 species